rnacentral:sRNA from 1 species
UUUACCUUCAAAGACGAGAACAAAGGACGGAUAUAACCCCUUACUUGAUGAC